rnacentral:misc_RNA from 1 species
CAUAGUUAAUUAUGUCUUGUUUCUCUGCAGGGGAACGCAGGCGAGACGGGAGAGGAUCUGGAUAUGGUGAUCUGGCUAGUGAACCAGCAUGGUGCUGGCCAGACUGUGCUGGACCUGGCCCUGGAUGCCAUCUGGGGUGCCCUCAGACGCUCCAUCAGCCCCAAGUUCUGGUCUCACUUCACCACCUACAACGCCAGCACGAGCAAGGAUGACGAGGGAAGUGUUGAGGUGAUGUCUCGAGUGUCCAGUGCUGUAGGGGAACUGUACAGCAGUGCUACAGCUUUCCUGCCACAGAUACACAGGUGUGAGAUGCUGUGUGAGAAAACAGGUGCCAAGUAUGAGGAGUAUGUGCCGGGGGGUCUAAUGGAGCACUUCAAGCUACACCUCAGAGCCACACUACACAGCCAAAUGCCAGCUGCCUUCACUCUCCUUUUCCAGAAAUUCUAUGCUGCAGCCUUCAAAGUUUUUUACUACACUGAGAUUGGAAGUCAGGUGGAGGAGUCUGACGAGCCAACUGAGGAAGCUAUCCAGUGUGGUGGGUGUGAGGCGUCAGCUGAUGCUUGUCACUGUCAGGCCAUCACCAACACGUUCACUCAGGUCAAUAGACAGUUGCUAGAGCUGGACUUGUUAGAAAGGCUUGCAGGUGACAUGAUUUCCUCUCAGCUUCUCUCCACCAUCACUUCCCAUGUUACCUCCACCUGCAGGGACUCCUAUGAUCAGUCUCGUAUCACACAAUUAGAAAAGUGGGUGGAGAAUGUGGUGGUGGGAUGGCUGGAGGUGGUGUACUGUGGUGGCCGAGGGAAGUUAUCGUCUGCCGAACCAGCAGUGCAGAACGUGGUGGCUGAGAACCUGCAGCAGACCUACAUGACAGCAUUGUACCAUACCUACACCACCACUAGGAUUGACCAGCUCUUCAACAUCCUCAUUGAAUACCCAGAGUCUCAGCCAGCUCUCGAGGACAUUAGAGAGUGUCUGGACCGCACACACCUUAGAGAUUGCCUUGUGGAAUCCCUGCGGUCUGCUUUUCAGACUCGCCUUCUCCAUCCAGGCGUGAACACAACUGAUGUCCUUCACGCCUACAUUUCUGCCAUCAAGGCGCUGCGGGUGCUGGAUCCCAAGGGAGUGCUGCUGGAACUAGUGUCAGAACCCGUGAGACAGUACCUGCGAGGCCGAGAGGACACAGUGCGCUACAUUGUGACAAGUCUGACUGAUGAAUGUUGCUCUGAGCUGUCUGAGGAACUCAUGGUGGCCACUCCUUUGGUGUUGGAUGACUCCCACAGUGAUGAAGAUAGUAUGGAACACUGGGACACCUGGACACCUGACCCAGUACAUGCCCACACCUUAAAAUCCAAGUCACAGCGUACAGCAGACAUCAUUUCCAUGCUGGUCAAUAUAUAUGGAAGCAAGGAUGUGUUCAUUACCGAGUACCGCACUAUUCUGGCUGACCGCAUCCUCUCUCAGUUCAGUUAUGACACAGAGAGGGAGAUCCGAUACCUGGAGCAUCUCAAAGUGAGGUUUGGGGAAACGCUGGCACUCCUACAUAAAUGUGAGGUGAUGGUGAAGGAUGUGGCUGACUCAAAACGCAUCAACCAGUCCAUCAACUCAGACGAAAAUCCACGGAGAGAGAAACAGAAAUUCCCAGUGUCUUGCAUGAUUCUGUCAGCUCAGUUCUGGCCGUCAUUCAAGGAGGAGCGUCUGCAGCUGCCAGAAGAAGUGCUCAAUGAACUGGAAACUUACACUGAAGCUUUCCAGGAACUUAAAGGGAACAGGACUCUCAACUGGAAACACCAUCUUGGCCAGGUACAGCUGGAAGUGGAGCUAAAGCAUCGCACAGUCUCAGUGAGUGUCACACCGACCCAGGCCACCAUCAUCUUCCACUUCCAGGAGAGAAAACGCUGGACCAUUGAUGAGCUGAGCAGUGUUACUCAUGUACCCAAGACUGUCCUCAGGCGAAAGAUUACAUUCUGGCAGACACAGAGCCCAAGAAUACUCAUCAGCUGAAGAGGACUUGGGAAUACUUAAAGAACAAAGUGAAGAAGGAUCACAGCAGGUACAUCCGGGAAACCCAUCAGACUGGUGGUGGGCCACCACCAGCCCCACCAAAACCAGCUGAUGAGGUAACGCUGAUUGUACAACUGAUCCUUAAUAAUAGGCUGCCAGUACCUGACGACAUUUUUGAUAGUGAAUUUGUGGAAGCACGCGUGCUGGCCCGACUCAAUUCCACUGCACUGGAAUGUGCUGACACACCUGAAGCUGCUGGACAGCAGCCAGCAACCCUGGCAGUCCACUUAUCAUCAGGAGUGAAGACUGUGAACUUAUAGAUGCGGAAGAUGAUGUGGACCUCCCAGGUGCUAGAACCUCCGCUCAUCCUGACCUAAAAAAAGGCACCUGCUCUGCUCGCAGCAGUAGUGCCACAGCUGCCACCCAAAACCAGUCCUUCACAGGAUGAAAGAGGAAGGCAGCAGAAAGCAAAUCUGCUGCUUAUGGCAGGUGUGCCAAGCAGCAGAAACACUUUCGUGAUGAACUGGCCUCAACAUUUGAGGCCCUUGCAGCAAAUGCGGCGACAACGCUGCACAGCGUAGCUUCUGCUGCCGAUAAAAUUGGGUCGGCGGCUGACAGAAUGGCAUCUGCUGCAGAGAAUGCUGCAGCCCUUGAAAGGGUAGCUGGUAUACACCAACCACUACCAUAAGGGAGUGUUGCAGGAGGUGGAUUCUGAUGUGUUUGUGUUGGUGGAUGGGGAAGGUGAUGGGGAUGAGGGCUUGGUGGCAGCAGCAGGGGCAGUUUCCCCUGACAUCGCACCCCCGGCCAUUGAGGAGGAUGAGGC